UCAGAAGGAUUAGAAGAUAAAAAGUUGCAGCGAUGAAAUAUGGGAAUUAUAAAGAGUUGGAAUGAAAUGGAAUCCAUUACAGCAAACAACCAUCUGAUUUAAUAUAACAUCAGAAGGAUUAGAAGAUAAAAAGUUGCAGCGAUGAAAUAUGGGAAUUAUAAAGAGUUGGAACAGUAAUCAACAACAAGACAAGCUUCAGAUGCCAGAAAUCAUGUAUCACAUUUAUUUACAUUAAGGGACCUGAUAUAGCUAAAACACGAGGCCACCCAAAGGAAUAAACAUAAGCCCACAUUGUUGAAAAAGCUGGUGAAGAAGAAAUUUAACACCCUAAUUUUGAGUAGGGCUGUAGAUUAACUUACAAGGAAGGCUAGUACCGGUAAUUCAGCCAGGCAUGAUAAUUUGGGAAACAAGGAAGGCUAGUACCGGUAAUUCAGCCAGGCAUGAU
rnacentral:lncRNA from 1 species